GCGAAAUUAAAACCACCGCGAAAGGUCAUUUUUCCCGCUACUGCGAAAUCAAAUCCCCGCAAACUUAAAUCCAACCAGCAGGUGUUAUGGUAUAGCAAAAUCAUUAAUUAAAUGGUUUGGUAGUUGAUUUUUUUCUAGUCCAAAACGUCUGGUAUCCACGAUGUAAGUUUGGUUUAGGUUUAAAAUUAUACUGUCUGUUUCAUAUGACAAGAAGGGUGAACCCUUAUGUUAUGAUAUGUUAAGAUAAAAUCAAACGUCCUCCCCAAAAGGACUGAAAUUAUUACUUUCGUGUGAAUAAUAAUAUCAAUCAAUGCAAUUGACAAUUUUCUUCACAUUAUUUUGUUCUCAGUGACAAUUCUACCGUUGUUGGAGGCCCGGCCAGUGACGUUCGCCCCCACACACCCAACACAGGAGGAUAAACACACCUCCGUGUCUCCUGGGGACUCAUGCCGGACCGAACCUGCAGCUGGAGUGGCUUCGGCAACGGGCUUCUACAAAGCGCGCUGUGACGAGGAACUGGACCCCUUCAUUGACAACGUCACAGUGGGUAACUCAUCACUUGCCUCUGCCGACCCAGCCCUAUCCGGCCCUGAGAACAGAACUUUGCCAGUGUAUGCAGUGGCAAUCAGCUCUACGGUGAUGGGCAUCUACAGCGUCGUGGGCAUCGUUGGCAACGGUCUGGUCAUCUUGGCCUUCUGCGCUUACAGA